GAGUACGUGAAACCGUUCAGGGGUAAACCUGAGAAACCCGAAAGGUCGAAAGGGGAGAUUCAGCGUGUCUCGAUUGCGGCGCUGGAUGGUCGUGCGACGGAAGACGUACGCGUCAUCCGCACCUUCCGUCUUCCGAACCGUAGUCGAACGCGUGCACUUCUCCCCCUGUAGGACGUCGCGAUCCGUUGGGUGCCGGUCUAAGGCCCGCAGUGGAGCCCGUUCGGACGGUUUACCGUUCCGGACGAACCUGCGGUGUUUCCCGGUCGGCUCGCUCGACGGUAUACAGAUGGCGCGGGGCCGCUACGCAUUAGUUAGCGUCCGACCGGCGGCAAGCGCGCUCGUCGGACGGUGAUCGGACCUGGUGCCGGUCCUGUCCCCGAGUGGCUGUUCGCUGCCGUGUUCUCGGACAGACCUCGUCGAAACGCCGAUCUGCGACUAUACUUUGGGUACUUUCAGGACCCGUCUUG
rnacentral:rRNA from 1 species